rnacentral:tRNA from 2 species
GCGGAAGUAGCUCAGUUGGUAGAGCGUCAGCCUUCCAAGCUGAAUGUCGCCGGUUCGAACCCGGUCUUCCGCUCCA